GAAAGCUUCACAAAGGAGAACAAUUUUGAGAUACACUUUGGAAUAUGUUGUAUUCUUCAUACAUAAUUCUUCCUUCCUUCCUUCCCUUCGCCAUGAAUCCUGCUCUUCUCUAUGACAGGAUUAUACUUACAUGUCCCAUUGACAUAUCUCUUUGUCAUGUUAAUUUCUUUCAAUCUGAAAUGUAGGCAGAAGUGGUUGAUUUAGUACUAGCUCUGAACCAGGCCUGAAGAGAAAUCAUGUGUUUCUUUUUACUGUCUUGUGCUUCUGCCAUAGCCAUGAGAAGAACAGUCCACUGAAGGUUGAGUGAGUCAUCUAGGACAGACCUGAACACCUGGCAACUUGAAGCCAAACCCACCUCAGCCUACAGAAAUCAGCCAGACCCCAACUGACCCACAGACUUAUGAGGAGACUGAAGCUGAGAGAGACUAUGGCCUGCUAAGUCACUGUCAGCUGCUGGGGAUGCAGAAAUGAAAACCCAAGGCCUCUGCCUUCAUGGACUUCAUAGUACAACGGCGAAGCAGAUAUUUAUCAUUAUAGCCUAUCUCAUACCGGUCUGCAUAGAACUUUUGGAAUAUCCCACCAAUAAGAUGACUGUGUUCUGUACAGACUUAUUUGCUUCCUGAUUCAAUCAUCUUCCUCUGCACUGAGCCAAUGGCUAAGAUGAUGAUGAUCAUAACAAAGUGAAGGAGGAGGAAGACUUAACCUGAGUAAUAGCAUAUUUCAAGACCAAGAGAAAACAGGGUUUGAAUAGUCUAGGAAUGAAUGUCCAUCCCAGCAAUAUAUGUCAUGCAAGAUCCUACCACCCAACUCAGAUGGAGGUUACUAUCAAAGGUCUCCCAAGACUGUAACCAAGGUAUCAGUCAGCCAGGAUGCAUUCUCAUCUGGAGGCUUACCUGGAGAAGUAUCUGCUUCUAAUCUCACUCAGGGAAGAGUGCUGAUCACACCACCAAGUCUCAAGCCGAUUCUCCAUUCUUGACUUCUGGAGAAAAUUGGAAGAUUGACUAUUGUCAUACACUGCCUGCCUGCUUGAUCAAUCAACGCAGAGUCCGUGUUCCUUCCUCUAGUUUCCUGCUCUUCCUCAUUAUUUCAGCCCCAGUGCGUCACUGAUGAGCUUGCCUGCACAGCAUGAAGGGCACGUGAGAAUUUCUGGGCUCCGAGAAUGACACAGAUGGAUCACAGGAAGCUGGAAGUGGUGCCUUGGAUCCAUCUAUCAAGCCACCUCUCUGUCAGUGAUACACCAUCCUGGAAGCUAUUGAUGCCCAGGCCAUUGUGAGACUAAUUCUAGAAGUUUGCAGGUUACCACAGACUCUGCCUACAGAAAUUGACCAAUCAUCACAAUAUGACUGGAUUCCCCUUCCAUAAACCUAUCUGGAUACUUCUGCACCCUUGAAUUUUGGGGCCCUUGAAUAAGGUCCCCAAGGGCCCUACCAUCAGACCUUCAUACCCUACUCAGUCUCCUUUCUCCUUCCCACAGCCCUCUGAGAUUACAAAGGGUGAGUUUUCCUUCCUUCCUUAAUGGCUUCUGUGACAUAAUACCUAAGUCCCUUUGCCCUCAAUGAUCAAAACCAUUAGUAGGAACUAAAGUUUAGAAAAUCUAUUCUCCCCCACCAAAGCUUGUCUUCCAAAAUAUAAUCAGUCUGUGAACUCAAAACUUCCAUUUUGGAAUUUAAAGUUCAGCAUUGUCUUUGUUCUUGCAUUCCUGCUGCAAAAAUUCUAAUUUUCUGCAAGGCAAAUGGUGCCUCUGGCUGUCUAGGAGGUCACAUAUAAGGAAAUUCAAAUAUGAAGAUCAUUUUACAUAAAUCAAAAAUAUUAUCCCCAUUACAUUAGCAUGGAAAUAAAAAUGGAACUUAUUUGUGUCAUCCAAAUUAUUUAACACUGAUCUCAUUCACCCAUAAAUUUGAAAAACUCAUCUUCAUUGGUAAAAAUAAUAAAAUUAUUGAACAAGGUAGAGGAUCUUGGAGACGCACCUCUAAAAAUAUGUUUGCAAAUUGACUCUGAUCCACAGAGAAAAUACUGCUUGCCUCAAAUUUAUUCUGAUGUUAGCCCAAGUAAAUCAUUUUGGGGGGGCUGUAGUCUACAGACCCUAAAGUGACCCUCAAAGAUCAUCAUCUUCUGGUAUUCAUGCCUUUCUGUAAUCUCAUUGCCUUGAGUCUGGGCAUUACUCGUGAGUUGCUUCUAACCAAUAGAAUAUGGCAAUGGUGAUAAAAUGUCUCUCCUUGAUUAUAUUAAGUUGUAUAAGACACAAUUUUGUUAGAGGCUUUCUCCCUUGCUGGCUUUGAAGAAAUAAAUGGACAUGUUAGAAGGCCCACAUGUCAAGAGGGUGAGGGUA